rfam:Aphanomyces astaci strain APO3 cont1.345, whole genome shotgun sequence.
ACUCUGGUGUUUUUCAACACCACCCAUUCACUCGAGAAUUUUUAC